rnacentral:rRNA from 1 species
UAAGGAAUAUUGGACAAUGGUCGCAAGACUGAUCCAGCCAUGCCGCGUGCAGGAAGACGGCCCUAUGGGUUGUAAACUGCUUUUGUACCAGAGAAAACCUAUCUACGUGUAGAUAGCUGAUAGUAUGGUAAGAAUAAGCCUCGGCUAACUUCGUGCCAGCAGCCGCGGUAAGACGAAGGAUGCAAGCGUUAUCCGGAUUCAUUGGGUUUAAAGGGUGCGUAGGCGGGCUUGUAAGUCAGUGGUGAAAUCUCUCAGCUUAACUGAGAAACUGCCAUUGAUACUGCAGGCCUAGAGUAUAGAUGACGUUGGCGGAAUAUGACAUGUAGUGGUGAAAUACUUAGAUAUGUCAUAGAACACCGAUUGCGAAGGCAGCUAACGAAACUAUAACUGACGCUGAGGCACGAAAGUGCGGGGAUCAAACA